rnacentral:rRNA from 1 species
AUUGAACGCUGGCGGCAGGCCUAACACAUGCAAGUCGAGCGGAGCGGCGGACGGGUGAGUAAUGCCUAGGAAUCUGCCUGGUAGUGGGGGAUAACGUCCGGAAACGGGCGCUAAUACCGCAUACUAUCAGAUUAGCCUAGCUCGGAUUAGCUAGUUGGGGGUGUAAAAGCAUACCAGGGCGAAGAUCCGUAACUGGUCUGAGAGGAUGAUCAGUAACACUGGACAUGAUACACGGUCCAGACGCCUACGCGAGGCAGCAGUGGGGAAUAUUUGACAAUGGGCGAAAGCCUGAUCCAUACAUGCCGCGUGUGUGAAGAAGGUCUUCGGAUUGUAAAGCACUUUAAGUUGGGAGGCGUUACCAACAGAAUAAGCACCGGCUAACUUCGUGCCAGCAGCCGCGGUAAUAC